rnacentral:rRNA from 1 species
GACGAACGCUGGCGGCGUGCUUAACACAUGCAAGUCGAACGGAAAGGCCCUGCUUUUGUGGGGUGCUCGAGUGGCGAACGGGUGAGUAACACGUGAGUAACCUGCCCUUGACUUUGGGAUAACUUCAGGAAACUGGGGCUAAUACCGGAUAGGAGCUCCUGCUGCAUGGUGGGGGUUGGAAAGUUUCGGCGGUUGGGGAUGGAUUCGCCGCUUAUCAGCUUGUUGGUGGGGUAGUGGCUUACCAAGGCUUUGACGGGUAGCCGGCCUGAGAGGGUGACCGGCCACAUUGGGACUACGAGACGGCCCAGACUACUACGGGAGGCAGCAGGGGGGAAUAUUGCACAAUGGGCGGAAGCCUGAUGAAGCAACGCCGCGUGCGUGAUGACGGCCUUCGGGUUGUAAACCGCUUUAGCCUGAGACGAAGCGUGAGUGACGGUAAUGAGUAAAGAAGCACCGGCUAACUACGUG